rnacentral:rRNA from 1 species
GACAGAGGAGCCAAGCGUUGUCCGGACUGACUGGGCGUAAAGCGCCCGCAGGCGGCCGUGCACGUGGGGUGUGAAAGCUCGCGGCUUAACUGCGAGAGGCCAUCCCAUACGGCGCGGCUCGAGCCGUCCAGAGGCCGGUGGAAUUGCCGGUGUAGUGGUGAAAUGCGUAGAGAUCGGCAGGAACACCCGUGGCGUAAGCGGCCACCUAGCCCGCACCUGACGCUGAGGCGCGACAGCGUGGGGAGCGAACGGG